GCAGGGGGUGAGCAGGUCUGUGCCAUCCCUGCAGCCCAGCACCAUGCUGUCCUGGGGAUCUCUCCUCUUUCUCCUCAUUGCCCUGUCAGGUGCCCAGUCCCAGGUGCAGCUGCUGGAGUCUGGAGGAGAUGCGAGGAAGCCUGGAGACUGUCUGCGCCUCUCCUGCAAAGCCUCCGGGUUCACCUUCAGCAGCUCCUACAUGAACUGGGUCCGACAGGCUCCUGAGAAGGGGCUGGAGUGGGUCGCAAGUAUAAAUGCUGCUACUGCUAACCUCACCACAUACUACAGUGCUGCGGUGAAGGGGUGAUUCACCAUCUCCAGAGACGACUCCACCAGCACACUGUACCUGCAGAUGACCAGCCUGAGAGCUGAGGACACGGCCCGGUAUCACUGUGUGAAGCC